UUCGAUUAAAAAAGCAACCCUCAGAAAAGAAAGUAGAAGCAGUGUGCAUAUGUUUUGGUUGCAUAAAAAAGGUGUAGAUCCGAUAAAUACUACGUACAACAAUAUUAUUUAUUAUUAUUAUCCUCCAUCAUAAUAAGAAAUUAACUUCAAAAACUUUCACCCAAAAAAUUAACUUCAAAAUAUUUUUUAUUGUUGUUUAGAAUCAGUUAUAAGCUGGAACCAGAGUUUGUCCAACUCAUCGCGCAGAUGUUUAUUUAUUUAUUUUAUGGAUCACAUUUAAAACUAGUUAUAUUUAUUAGAAUGUUUUUUUUUUUUUGGUAAAAUAUUUAUUAGCUACGUUGAGUUGGCCUAGUGGUAAAGGGGUUACGGCUGUAACUACCGCCACUCGGGUUCAAUUCACGGUGGGAGGGACUAUUUACAAUGCUUGGGUUCCCGGCAAAGAGGUGAAACCACCUUUUUUAUUUAUUAGAAUGUUUUCAUGUGGUGUUGGUUACUAAUGCUGCCGUUGGCUAUUCAGAAAACCAAAAUAAAAUCGUGUGUAAUUCAUCUGCAUUUGAUAAUAUUUUUCGGUUGUCUUAUUUUAUUUUUUUAUAUGUAUCUUUGAUAUUACAAUUAAUAUUUUAAAUAAGUGGUUUAUUCAAAUCUGUU
rnacentral:lncRNA from 1 species